rnacentral:rRNA from 1 species
CCUACGGGAGGCUGCAGUGGGGAAUAUUGCACAAUGGGGGAAACCCUGAUGCAGCGACGCCGCGUGAGUGAAGAAGUAUUUCGGUACGUAAAGCUCUAUCAGCAGGGAAGAAAAUGACGGUACCUGACUAAAAAGCCCCGGCUAACUACGUGCCAGCAGCCGCGGUAAUACGUAGGGGGCAAGCGUUAUCCGGAUUUACUGGGUGUAAAGGGAGCGUAGACGGCAGCGCAAGUCUGGAGUGAAAUCCCAUGGCUUAACCAUGGAACUGCUUUGGAAACUGUGCAGCUAGAGUGCAGGAGAGGUAAGCGGAAUUCCUAGUGUAGCGGUGAAAUGCGUAGAUAUUAGGAGGAACACCAGUGGCGAAGGCGGCUUACUGGACUGUAACUGACGUUGAGGCUCGAAAGCGUGGGGAGCAAACAGGAUUAGAUACCCCGGUAGUC